AUGGCUGCCGCCACCAACACCAAGCAGAAGCAGCAGCAGCAGCCGGCACCGAAACCGGAGUUUGCCGACGGCGAGAAAGCCAAAGCGCUGGUCGACCAGGAGAACCUGGCAGCGGGAGUGAUACGACGCAUCGAGGAAGAGAAAGCCAAAGCAGCGGCUGCUGCCAUGGAAGCGAAAGGGGUGCUGGAGAAGAAGGCCACGGCGUGCAGCGGCUGGAAAGAGCGCGUGGCAGGGGGGCUGGAGCAGCUGACGGACAUGAAGUGGGCGGACAGCAUGGUGGAGAAGGCAAGGAACAACAAGGAAGUGGUCGCCAUAGCCAUCGCUGCUUUCUCGCUCGGCUUCUUCGUCUCUCAAAAGUUAUUCAGGAAGUGA
rnacentral:rRNA from 1 species